UAGAGGGACUCGUACCCUAGACGGGGUGAGCGGACUUGCGGCCUGCCCGAAUCGAAUCCAGAUUUAGAAAAGGAGAGACUAUUCAAGAAGACGAUUGCCAGUAGAGACGAUGCUCCAGUCUCAGAAACCUGCAAACCCCAAAUACAACAGAAAAACGUUUUCCUUUUAUCCAUGAGGAGAGGCAAACAGGAACUGUGAGGGGGAGCAGAGCGAGCACGGGGAGGUCGGCUGCAUCAGGUGACAGGGGGCAGGUCACAGUUUUGCACUUGCUCAGACUUGGGCACCACCCCGUGUUCCCUGAGUAAUGAUUUGGUGAGAAACAGGGAAAUGGAACACUGUUUGAAGCCCGUGUGAAAUAAAGAAUCCAAACUUCGUACAGACUUGGGUUGGAAAGAUUAUCAGGGGACUGAGUGUAGGGGACAAGGGAAUGUGGCCACGUGGGGAUGGGUCUCCUGCGAGACGGCAGAGGGAGCGCUGGAAUGGGAGCUGGCCGCUUGCGAGGGCCAUGCAUCUGAAGACCUGGGUCACAAGUUUUCCUCCGCGGAAGCCUAAACAAGGCUAGAAGAGCCGUAGUGGGAAGAUGAUGAAAGUCAGGGGUCAUGGGAGCACAGGUCCACCCCGCCCCAUGCCAGCUGCUUCUCAGGAGGGGCUGUCUGCAGACUCAGCUCCCCUCAUGCAGCCCCUGGAAGAAGACCAAGCGGAACCCAGGCACGACUAUCAGACGCUUUUGUUCCAGUUGAUGAGCGUGCAUCCAGGGGAUGAGUGUGCAGCUGUUCAGUGACUCGGUGACCUUGGAGGACGUGGCUGUGGACUUCACCCCACAGGAGUGGGCGCUGCUGAGUCAUGCUCAGAGGGAGCUUUACAGAGAUGUGAUGCUGGAGACCUGCAGGAACCUGGCCUCUAUAGAUGGUCACAUCCAUAUUAAAACUAGGGGGUCAAGUUUUCAGCGGUGUCUUUUGAGAAAUGGAAUAUCCAGCAAUGAUCCAGGCAUAAAAUUCACAAGAAGUGAUUUCUGGUCUGUUUUUGGAGAAAACUGGAGACUUGAUAACCCUGGCGAUGACCAAAUCCAGGACAGGCAUUCGAGCGCUGAUGUGAGCAGCCUCUCCGACAGCAGGGAAGGUCCGCGUGGAGACACCGUGAGCCACCCCGGGAGUCCGCCCGUGUGUGCACGCGAGCCCGGUGAUCGCAACGCGAGCCAGCAGGGGCCUCGCCCUGGCCGCAGGCCGCAGCCGGGUGAGGACGGGGAGCAAGCCUGCGGCCGCCUGUGUCCUCCUGCGACAGCUGGCUCCCCGGAGAAGCCCGGGGAAGGUGCGGAGGCAGGGACCGCCUCGCGCAAAGGCGCGGGAAGUGCCCGGGGCCGAAGGUCCCUGAAAGGCGGGAAGGGCGGGACCCUGUCCGGCCGCCCACCCCGCGGGGGAGGCGCGGCGGGGCAGAAGGCCCACGCCUGCGGCGUGUGCGGGAAGGCUUUUCAGUACCGCUCCUACCUGGCCCGGCACGCGCGGACGCACACCGGAGAGAAGCCCUACCGCUGCGAGGCGUGCGGGAAGGCCUUCAGCUGCCCCUCGUACUUCCGCGACCACGUGAGGACGCACAGUGGCCAGCAGCCCUACCCCUGCGCGCGCUGCGGCCGGGCCUUCGGCUGCCACUCGUCCUUCCGCGAUCACGCCAGGACGCACACCGGGGAGAAGCCCUACCGGUGCGCGCGCUGCGGCCGGGCCUUCACCUGCUACUCGUCCCUGCGGGAGCACGGGCGGUCCCACAGCGGCGCGAAGCCCUACGCGUGCGCCGAGUGCGGGAGGGCCUUCCGCUACCCCGCGUCCCUGCGCGCGCACCGGAGCACGCACGCGGCGGGGAGCGCCCGGGCCUGCGGGCAGUGCGGGAAGACCUUCAGCUGCCCCGCCUACCUGCGAAGGCACCUGCGAACCCACGGCGCCGCCAGGCCGCACCGGUGCGCACAGUGCGGGCGGGCCUACGGCUUCGCCGCCUCGCUGCGCGCGCAUGCGCGCACGCACACCGGGGAGAGGCCCUUCCAGUGCCCGCAGUGCGGCAAGGCCUUCGGCUGCCGCGCCUCCCUUCGCGAGCACGCGCGCACGCACAGCGGGGAGAAGCCGUUCCGCUGCCCGCAGUGCGGGAAGGCCUUCAGUCGUCCCCAGUAUAUCCGGAAGCACGCGCGGACACACAGUGCGGGCAGGCCCUACGAGUGCGCCCGGUGCGGGAAGGCCUACCGCGGCUCCUCGUCCCUGCGGGUGCACAUGCGCUCACACACCGGGGAGCGGCCCUACGCGUGCCCGCAGUGCGGGAAGGCCUUCCGGUAUCUGGCGUCCCUGCAGGCACACUCGAGAUCCCACGCGGAGAGACCCUGAGGGCACGGCCUGCGGGGAAUGUCCCCUUGCCCUAAGGACCUUGUGGCGGGAAGGCCCCUGUGCUCGGGCUGUGGGAACCUGUGUCCCCGCUUUUGUACGAAGCCUUGGAGUAGGAGGGGAGCCUCUCCGUUGUUACUAACGUUUCGCCUUCUGAGUGCCUCGCCCUUAGUGGGGUCCCUCGUGUUUCAAAUCCCGGUUUAUGUUGCUGAUGUGAACAAUAAAUGCCCUGUUUGGAACCGUCGGUUGCACCAUGUACAUUUCGUUCUGUAAGACUUUGAUCGCACGUUCCCGUGAAACCUGUCUGGUCUCCGUGACGGUGGUUUCUGGACCUGCGGGUGCUCGAGCGACUUCCGUGCAGUGUGAUGUGAUUUACAUGAGCAGCUUUUGGUCCUAUUGUCGUUGCUUCCAGCCGUGAUCAUAAUAUGACUGCUGCCGGUCCCCAGCUGCAGGUACUGGACUCCGUCCACCCUUCCCUCCGUUCUUCAUCACGAAAGGGGCAUCUCCCUCGUUGAUGGCUACGUGCGACUCACAGGAAUCGGUCAUUGUGGCAGGUUCUUGGGAGGGGCUUCCCAGCGGAUCGGAGAUCCUAUUUUGAACUCGCUCGUUGCCGUUGCUCUUGGUUGCUCUCGGACCCACUGCACUGAGGUGACCCUGUGGCACGUGAGCCUGGGGUUCUACCUGGCCGCGCGAUGGCUGGGGCUGGGCAUCCUACUGGUGGCUCCAUUCAGUUUAGGAGAAGACGACGGCAUGCAAGUUUCAGAAUGCAGACGUGAGUACCCCGUGCUCCCAGUGGUUUUAUCAGGGCACAGAGCCAUGGUGACAGCGCAUUUUCUGAUUAUUGGCUCUGCUGGACACUGCCUCGUGUCCCCUCAGCACAUCCUGCGUCUUUGCACGGGCUGCCAAUCUGGACCCUUGCGGGUUGCUCCCAGCACCGACUGCCCUGCUCCCCGGCUCUGGUUUGCAGCACGGGCUACGCUAGGGGUCUUCGCUCCCGGAGCGAGCACCUCCGCCUCUUCUCACCUCCAAUGGUCUCUCAGUGAGCAUCUGUGUCUUAACUGCCCUGGUGACUGACCCCAUCCUGAGCUAUUUGGUGUUGGAGCUGGGUAGCUUGUGACCCUGGUGGCACUGUGAGAGGCAGCACUAGCCAGCCUGCCUGUCACCUUGUUGCCAGCAGCUAGUGAUUGCCACUGUUGUCUGUGGCUUCAGAGCUCAUUGUGCAUCCAGUCACCUGAGUGUCCCUGUGACCUGGAAAGCCAGCUGAGGUGAUGGAGAUGACGUUCUUUCUCUGGUGUCACAGUGGCAUCCACACUGGUUUCCUUGUACAAGGCUCCCUGGGACUUGGGGCACCUCAGCUUCGUUCUGAGUGUGCAGACGUUUCACCCCAGCGAAGGCGGGCAGUUGAACAGACUGCGGUGCCGGCCAUCCGGCUGUCCCGCCGUCACCGCCCACGGCCAGACGCUUUCCAGCGUCACUUCUCAGGUCCCAUCCGUGAUGUCUUUAAGUGACGCAUGAAGAACCUGGUUGAAGUCCUCUGUGCAAACUGUCACCUGUGGACAUCCAUGAUCCCCUCCAUCAUCUGCCACCUUGGGCAACAGGGGGCAGCAGGUGGCACACUGACUGGGGAGCUGACGCUGGUGGGGAGCUGGCCGGUCAUCGCAGACACCAUUCACAUGCCAGUCUGGUUUCCUCCCAGAAUGUUUUCGGCAGUGCAGGGAUUGAAUCCAGAGCCUCACCGAGUGCGGUGAGUGCCCUUUGGUGGCACUGCCUCCUUGGCUGUCUCACCUGCGCUGAGACGCAGGCUCUUCCUGCUGCAGCGUCCCGGUGCCCAUAGCUGGGACCGCGGGCAUGUGCCAGUGCACCAGCUUUCCCCUUGAUUGACAUGGUGUAUUUCAGAUGAUGACAGAAAUGACAACAUCAGCCACCACUGAAAAUGCAGCGAGGAAUGUCACUGAGACGGAGUUGGACAAGAAGCCCCACGAGAUUCCCGGAAGGCGCAACUUCCUGACGAGGCUCUGGAAGCCGCCCGGAUGGGCGGGUCACGACCCCGGCCGCUGGAGAGGACAGCACUGGCGGGUCGCUACACUGGCACUGUCCUAAGCGUCACAUCGCUGAUAGAGAGGCCAGAGGAAAGAGGAGGAGCCAGGUGCUCACCUGUGCCUUGUCUGCAGGUGGCGACUAAACCACUCGCCUUGGAGAUGGGCUCAUGGCCUGGCCGCCGGUCCUGGGACAGCUCGGCAGGAAAGCUUGGGAUGCCUCACAUUCCGCUCAGGGCCAGCACUGGAAGAGCUGGGACAGGCAGAGCCGUCACACCGUCACACCUGCGGGGUGCAGCUCCCAGGACGGGCUGAACGAAGGCAGGGCAGGGACGCGGUGCGCGGGGCGGCCCCGAGGUGCAGGCGGCGCACACUAGGGCCACAGCUCCUGCAGCGGCGUGGGACGCCUGAGCCCAGGAUGUCCUGGGGACCCGCGCGCAGGCGGCUGGUCCGCUCCGUCUGCCCUGGGCGCCUGUUCUCCCCGCAGCACCCCGAGGUGCAGCUGCGGACCUGCAGCAGCCGCCACAGGCGCUGUCCGCCCUGCGUGACCCCUUUCUGCGGCACAGGCCUGGCGCGGGCCCUCCGAGAGCCCCGUCCCCAGCCUUGCGCUCCUAGGUCUCCCCUGCUCUUCGUAUUUUCCUUUCCCGCAAACCCUUAUUUCCUUAGAAACCAAGCCUCUGCUAUUUGCUUACUAUCUUUGUACACAGACAUUUAAAAAAAUUUCUUUUGGUUGUUGAUGAACCUUUACUUUUUUAAAAAAUUUAUACGUGGUGCUGAGAUUCGAACCCAGUGCCUUUCAAAUGCUAGGUGAGUGCGUUACCACUGAGCCACAACACAGCCCCUACAGACGUUUAAUAACAAAGACUAUAAGAAAUCAUUUCAUGGACUGGGGAGAUGACUCAGUCGGUAGA